UACGUAGGGGGCAAGCGUUGUCCGGAAUCAUUGGGCGUAAAGCGAGCGUAGGCGGCCCGAUAAGUCUGCUGUAAAAGUCAACGGCUCAACCGUUGAAAGCCGGUGGAUACUGUCGGGCUAGAGUUCGGAAGAGGCAAGUGGAAUUCCAGGUGUAGCGGUGAAAUGCGUAGAUAUCUGGAGGAACACCGGUGGCGAAGGCGGCCUGCUGGACAGUUGCUGACACUGAGGCGCGACAGCGUGGGGAGCAAACAGG
rnacentral:rRNA from 1 species